GUAGGUGGCAAGCGUUGUCCGGAUUUAUUGGGCGUAAAGCGAGCGCAGGCGGUUGCUUAGGUCUGAUGUGAAAGCCUUUGGGUUAACCGGAGUAGUGCAUUGGAAACUGGGAGACUUGAGUGCAGAAGAGGAGAGUGGAACUCCAUGUGUAGCGGUGAAAUGCGUAGAUAUAUGGAAGAACACCAGUGGCGAAAGCGGCUCUCUGGUCUGUAACUGACGCUGAGGUUCGAAAGCGUGGGUAGCAA
rnacentral:rRNA from 1 species